rnacentral:rRNA from 1 species
UACGUAGGGUGCAAGCGUUAAUCGGAAUUACUGGGCGUAAAGCGUGCGCAGGCGGUGAUGUAAGACAGUUGUGAAAUCCCCGGGCUCAACCUGGGAACUGCAUCUGUGACUGCAUCGCUGGAGUACGGCAGAGGGGGGAUGGAAUUCCGCGUGUAGCAGUGAAAUGCGUAGAGAUCGGGGAGGAACAUCAGUGGCGAAGGCGGCCCUCUGGACCAGUACUGACGCUGAGGCACGAAAGCGUGGGGGAGCAA